ACUCCUACGGGAGGCAGCAGUCGGGAAUCUUCCGCAAUGGGCGAAAGCCUGACGGAGCGACGCCGCGUGAGUGAUGAAGGCAUUCGGGUUGUAAAGCUCUGUGGGGAGAGAAGAAUAAGUCUAGGCGAAUACCCUGGAUGACGACGGUAUCUCCUUAGCAAGCACCGGCUAACUCUGUGCCAGCAGCCGCGGUAAU
rnacentral:rRNA from 1 species